GGGCCCGCACAAGCGGUGGAUUAUGUGGUUUAAUUCGAAGCAACGCGCAGAACCUUACCUAGGCUUGAAAUCCUCAGAAUUCGACGUAAUGGUCGAAGUGCCCGCAAGGGAAUUGAGUGACAGGUGCUGCAUGGCUGUCGUCAGCUCGUGUUGUGAAAUGUUGGGUUAAGUCUCGCAACGAGCGCAACCCCUAUCUUUAGUUGCCAGCAUUAAGUUGGGCACUCUAGAGAGACUGCCGGUGCAAACCGCGAGGAAGGUGGGGAUGACGUCAAAUCAUCACGGCCCUUACGUCCUGGGCUACACACGUGCUACAAUGGCCGGUACAGAGGGCAGCCACACCGCAAGGUGGAGCGAA
rnacentral:rRNA from 1 species